AGUCACUGACAUUAGAUACCCGGGUAGUCCAGGGUGUAAACGCUGCAGACUUGGUGUUGGGGGCCCUUUGGGGGCAUUCAGUGCCGGAGAGAAGUUGUUAAGUCUGCUACUUGGGGAGUACGUCCGCAAGGAUGAAACUUAAAGGAAUUGGCGGGGGAGCACCGCAACGGGAGGAGCGUGCGGUUUAAUUGGAUUCAACACCGUAAACUCACCAGGGAAGACUGUUACAUGAAGGCCGAGAUGAAGACUCUGCUAGAUUUUCAG
rnacentral:rRNA from 1 species